rnacentral:lncRNA from 1 species
UCGUUUAAAUUUUUUGUUAAUUAAUUUAGUAAAACUUCAUAAUACUCCCUAAAUUUUUUUUUUUUUUAAUACUCCCUAAAUUGGUUGACUAACUACUAUAAAAUCGCUAUUCUCUAGAAAAACGGAGAAAACAAAGGUUCCAAACCUCUUUGACCUUCAUCACAUGUUAGUGAAGGAUGCAACUAUGCAUUAAAAUAGAAUUUUAA